AUGUGGCCCUCCAAGCAGUUGUUUGAGAGAUUUAGCAUGCUGAGGGACGGCAGAUCUGAAAUGCUGGGAGGAAUGAGACCUGAAAGUUCAUUGCAUGAGAGGUCAAGGAACUCCAAGAGCUCCAAACUGCCGAUUCUUUCUGGAAUGCUGCCUGAAAGGUCAUUUAUGGACAAGUUCAGAAACCGGAGACCUAUCAGUUUGUUCACAGCCCUUCCAGGAUAUGUUGACCGACAGUUGGAAAUUCCAACUUGGUUCGACCCAUGGGGGAAGAUUAAGCCUCAUGGAUGUAAAGUUGCCAAAGGCUACCGGAAUUGA
rnacentral:rRNA from 1 species